rnacentral:rRNA from 1 species
GAUGAACGCUGGCGGCGUGCCUAAUACAUGCAAGUCGAGCGAAUGGAUUAAGAGCUUGCUCUUAUGAAGUUAGCGGCGGACGGGUGAGUAACACGUGGGUAACCUGCCCAUAAGACUGGGAUAACUCCGGGAAACCGGGGCUAAUACCGGAUAACAUUUUGAACCGCAUGGUUCGAAAUUGAAAGGCGGCUUCGGCUGUCACUUAUGGAUGGACCCGCGUCGCAUUAGCUAGUUGGUGAGGUAACGGCUCACCAAGGCAACGAUGCGUAGCCGACCGGAGAGGGUGAUCGGCCACACUGGGACUGAGACACGGGCCAGACUCCCACGGGAGGCAGCAGGAGGGAAUCUUCCGCAAUGGACGAAAGUCUGACGGAGCAACGCCGCGUGAGUGAUGAAGGCUUUCGGGUCGUAAAACUCUGUUGUUAGGGAAGAACAAGUGCUAGUUGAAUAAGCUGGCACCUUGACGGUACCUAACCAGAAAGCCACGGCUAACUACGUGCCAGCAGCCGCCGUAA